rnacentral:ncRNA from 3 species
AUUUGAACACUAUGAAACACUCAUAUAAUCGCGUGAUGAAGGCACGCAAGUUUCUACCGGACACCGAUACCGUCCGACUAUGAGUGAGCAAAAUGAAACA